GAAUGACAAAAUUGACAAGCUCAACAAAAACUUUGAAAAUGAAACAAAAAUUCCGAAAACAAGUUAUACGAGAAAGACAUAUUAAUAACAAACUUACAAAGCCAAAUUCACGAGAUUCGAGACAGAAUUGGUAAACUUCAAGCUGAAGUGAAAUUACAAGCACAACAGAUAAAAGACAAAAACGACAACAUUAAUGACAACGAAAACCAAGCAGCUUAACGACAAAAUAAUAAGCCGACUGGACGUGAUAGAC
rnacentral:lncRNA from 1 species